rnacentral:lncRNA from 1 species
AAAGAUGGUGAAAUUGUUCACUGGUUACUAUCAUAGACAGAACAAACUCAACCUUAACUAACCUUAAGGCAAGAAAAAUUACCUUAUUUUAUUAUAGUUAAAAAUGUAAGUACUAAUUAGAUAGUAGUAAAUAGAAAGUCUUUAAAAGAAAACCUUUCCUUUGCUUUCUCACAGGCUCAGUUUUACGUCUUUCCUCCAAACUGCCAGCUCCCCACACCAAGUGGUGCAGCAGCAGGUUCUGUCAAACAGCACAUGUUCCUGCAUGGGGUGACUGUCAGCUCAAGACUUCAAACUUGCUUGAAAAUUCUCAGCAUUGUCAUUCCUGUGACUGACCUCUUACAAAGGAAGUAAGAGAAAAGAACAUAAGGCUAUCCAGCUAAGCAGUGGUCUUUUUACUGUCAUUUUUCAUCCUCCAUGCCUUGUUCAUGUGUCUAGCAGUACCUGCUCUAGUUUAC